AUUAUUAUUUGUAUUUGUAUUAUUAUUAUUAUUAUUAUUAUUAUUAUUAUUAUUAUUAUUAUUAUUAUUAUUAUCAUCCAACAGAGUCCGGACGGUUCAGUGCAACGGAUAAAAAUGUAAUUCGUUUUGUUCAUUUGCCGAAUUUUCAAAGAAAUGAAAAUUUGACCAAAUCUACUUUUUACUUGUAACACGAUUAUAUUAUUUAUAAUAAGUAAUUGAAAUCGGUCAUCUUUUCGUUGUCGUUGAACGAUCGUCCGGCUACUUGCAUUAAAUAUUUAUUUUAAUCGAAUACUGUUAUUAAAUGUAAUCAAUAAUUACUUAAUUGAAAAUACAUUAAUAUUUUAUUUACGAAUUAUUAUUUUCUGAUUAGAUACCUUCGUCAUACUCCGUACACUUGCAUGUUAUCAACUAUCAUACCAAAGAGACGUUCUAAAAAUCCUCCUCCCCGAAUUCGAUCCGCUUGUAAGUACUUGAAAGGUCCAAUCCACGAUUCAAAACAGGCCAAGAAAAAAUCAUCAUUGUUAAAUUCAGUUGAUUGCAUUUUAGAAAGACAAUUUCACAACUCUGAAUAACUUGACAAAAGAAGAAAAAAUCGCAAAAUCUAAACACAAAUUUCAAAUAUUUUGGAAGGAAAAGCAACAUCUCGAAAUAGUACAAUAUCUGAAAAACUAACUGCUGAUGAUAUGGCUCAUAUGAAGUUUGCACCUAUGACGUCAGUUGACGUGAACGAAGUUUUUCGAGAUACAAAACAAUACUGGCCGAUAACCGUCGAAGAUUUCUGUUUGACAAUAUUAAGCAGCACCUGAUUAUACGAGUACAAUGCUAUGAAACAAAAGGGUAAAAAGAAGAUAGAAUGAUAAAUAUCAAGAUAAUUGAAAGUUAAUUAAUUAAGGUUGUAUUGUAUUUAAAUAU